rnacentral:rRNA from 1 species
CCUACGGGUUGCAGCAGUGGGGAAUUUUGGACAAUGGGCGAAAGCCUGAUUCAGCAAUGCCGCGUGCAGGAUGAAGGCCCUCGGGUUGUAAACUGCUUUUGUACGGAACGAAAAGCCUGGGGCUAAUAUCCUCGGGUCAUGUCGGUACCGUAAGAAUAAGCACCGGCUAACUACGUGCCAGCAGCCGCGGUAAUACGUAGGGUGCAAGCGUUAAUCGGAAUUACUGGGCGUAAAGCGUGCGCAGGCGGUUUUGUAAGACAGUGGUGAAAUCCCCGGGCUCAACCUGGGAACUGCCAUUGUGACUGCAAGGCUAGAGUGCGGCAGAGGGGGAUGGAAUUCCGCGUGUAGCAGUGAAAUGCGUAGAUAUGCGGAGGAACACCGAUGGCGAAGGCAGUCCCCUGGGCCUGCACUGACGCUCAUGCACGAAAGCGUGGGGAGCAAACAGGAUUAGAUACC